rnacentral:tRNA from 1 species
GCCUGGGUGGCUCAGUCGGUUAAGCGUCCGACUUCGGCUCAGGUCACGAUCUCGCAGUUUGUGGGUUCGAGCCCCGCAUCAGGCU